CAAAAUUUUCCAAUUUUGGGUCAAAAAUGGCUCUUUUGGGGGCAGAAAUUGGGGCAAAAAUGGCUCUUUUUGGAUGAAAAAUUGGCUCUUUUUUGCCCAAAUUGGGUCAAAUUUUACCUUUUUUGGGUCAAAUUUUCCCCUUUUUGGGUCAAAAUUGGCUCUUUUUCGUCCCAAUUGGAUCAAAACUUCCCUUUUUUGGGUCAAAAUUUCUCUUUUUGGGUCAAAAAUGGCCCUUGUGGGGGGCAGAAAUGGCUCUUUUGGGAUCAAAAAUGGCUCUUUUUUCCCAAAUUGGGUCAAAUUUCCUCAUUUUGGGGUCAAAUUUUCCCCUUUUUGGGUCAAAAUUGGCUCUUUUUAGUCCUAUUUGGGUCAAAAACUUCCCUUUUUUGGGUCAAUUUUUCCCCUUUUUGGGUCAAAAAUGGCUCUUUUGGGGUCAGAAAUUGGGGCAGAAAUGGCUCUUUUUUGCCCAAAUUGGGUCAGAAUUUCCCCUUUUUUGGGUCAAAUUUUCCCUUUUUUGGGUCAAAAUUGGCUCUUUUUGGUCCCAAUUGGGUCAAAACUUCCCUUUUUUGGGUCAAAAUUUUCCAAUUUGGGGUCAAAAAUGGCUCUUUUGGGGGCAGAAAUUGGGGCAAAAAUGCCUCUUUUUGGCAGAAAUUGGGUCAAAUUUUACCUUUUUUGGUCAAAUUUUCCCCUUUUUGGGUCAAAAUUGGCUCUUUUUCGUCCCAAUUGGGUCAAAACUUCCCUUUUUUGGGUCAAAAUUUUCCAAUUUUGGGUCAAAAAUGGCUCUUUUGGGGUUAAGAAUUGGCUCUUUUUUGCCCAAAUUGGGUCAGAAUUUCCCCUUUUUUGGGUCAAAUUUUCCAUUUUUUGGGUCAAAAUUGGCUCUUUUUAGUCCCAAUCUGGUCAGAAUUUCCUCUUAUUGGGUCAAACUUUCCCCAUUUUGGGUCAAAAAAUGCUCAUUUUGGGUCAAAAAUGCCUCUUUUUGUUCCCCACCCGACCUCAGCAUCUCCCCCAAAUCGGGGCGAUUCCCCUUUAAGAACCGCCCAAAUUGGGGCCAAAAAUUGGGAUUUCGGUUCCGAGGGCCCCAAAAAUGACAAUUUUCGGGGUCGACUUUGCCCAAAAUUGUUUUUUUUUCCCCCAGAAUGAAGACGAGGAGGAGGAAGAGGAGGAGAAGGACGAGGCUGAAGAUUUAUUGGGGCGCAGCUC
rnacentral:lncRNA from 1 species